GUACUUGCUUUGGCAGCACGUAUAUUAAAAUUGGAAAGAUACAGAGCAGAUCAGCAUGGCCCCUGCACAAGGGUGACAUGCAAAUUCAUGAAGCAUUCCAUAUUUUU
rnacentral:snRNA from 1 species